rnacentral:rRNA from 1 species
UACAGAGGCCACGAGCGUUAGGCGGAAUCACUGGGCUUAAAGCGUGUGUAGGUGGAUCGGUAAGUACCUUGUGAAAUCCCACGACUCAAUCGUGGAACUGCUUGGUAUACUGCCAGUCUUGAGGCACUCAGGGGCGAGCGGAACAGAUGGUGGAGCGGUGAAAUGCGUAGAUAAUCAUCUGGAACGCCAAUGGUGAAGACAGCUCGCUGGGGGGUGUUCUGACACUGAGACACGAAAGCCAGGGGAGCAAACGGG